ACUUAAAGGAAUUGGCGGGGGAGCACUACAACGGGUGGAGCCUGCGGUUUAAUUGGAUUCAACGCCGGAAACCUCACCGGGACCGACAGCGAUAUGAAGGCCAGGCUGAAGACCUUGCCGGAUUAGCUGAGAGGUGGUGCAAGGCCGUCGUCAGUUCGUACUGUGAAGCAUCCUGUUAAGUCAGGCAACGAGCGAGACCCACGCCCACAGUUGCCAGCGUACUCUCUGGAGUGACGGGUACACUGUGGGGACCGCCGCUGCUAAAGCGGAGGAAGGAAUGGGCAACGGUAGGUCAGUAUGCCCCGAAUAUCCCGGGCUACACGCGGGCUACAAUGGUUGGUACAAUGGGUAUCUACCCCGAAAGGGGAUGGAAAUCUCCUAAAGCCAAUCGUAGUUCGG
rnacentral:rRNA from 1 species